GAGAGUUUGAUCAUGGCUCAGGACGAACGCUGGCGGCGUGCUUAACACAUGCAAGUCGAACGGAAAGGCCCCCACCUUGGUGGGGGUGCUCGAGUGGCGAACGGGUGAGUAACACGUGGGUGAUCUGCCCCGCACUUCGGGAUAAGCUUGGGAAACUGGGUCUAAUACCGGAUAGGACCAUGGUUUAGUGUCUCAUGGUGGAAAAAUAUUGUUUUGGUGCAGGAUGAGCUCGCGGCCUAUCAGCUUGUUGGUGGGGUAAUGGCCUACCAAGGCGUCGACGGGUAGCCGGCCUGAGAGGGUGGACGGCCACAUUGGGACUGAGAUACGGCCCAGACUCCUACGGGAGGCAGCAGUGGGGAAUAUUGCACAAUGGGCGCAAGCCUGAUGCAGCGACGCCGCGUGGGGGAUGACGGCCUUCGGGUUGUAAACUCCUUUCGUUAGGGACGAAGCCACGCCUUUUUUUGGGUGUGGUGACGGUACCUUUGUUAAGAAGCACCGGCUAACUACGUGCCAGCAGCCGCGGUAAUACGUAGGGUGCGAGCGUUGUCCGGAAUUACUGGGCGUAAAGAGCUCGUAGGUGGUUUGUUGCGUCGUCUGUGAAAUUCCGGGGCUUAACUUCGGGGUGGCAGGCGAUACGGGCAUAACUAGAGUGCUGUAGGGGAGACUGGAAUUCCUGGUGUAGCGGUGGAAUGCGCAGAUAUCAGGAGGAACACCGAUGGCGAAGGCAGGUCUCUGGGCAGUAACUGACGCUGAGGAGCGAAAGCAUGGGGAGCGAACAGGAUUAGAUACCCUGGUAGUCCAUGCUGUAAACGGUGGGCGUUAGGUGUGGGGACCGGUUUGGUUUCUGUGCCGUAGCUAACGCAUUAAGCGCCCCGCCUGGGGAGUACGGCCGCAAGGCUAAAACUCAAAGGAAUUGACGGGGGCCCGCACAAGCGGCGGAGCAUGUGGAUUAAUUCGAUGCAACGCGAAGAACCUUACCUGGGUUUGACAUGCACCAGACGGUUGUAGAGAUACGUACCUCCCUUUGUGGUUGGUGUGCAGGUGGUGCAUGGUUGUCGUCAGCUCGUGUCGUGAGAUGUUGGGUUAAGUCCCGCAACGAGCGCAACCCUUGUCUUAUGUUGCCAGCACGUUUAGGGUGGGGACUCAUGAGAGACUGCCGGGGUUAACUCGGAGGAAGGUGGGGAUGACGUCAAAUCAUCAUGCCCUUUAUGCCCAGGGCUUCACACAUGCUACAAUGGUUAGUACAACGCGCUGCGAGCCUGUGAGGGUGAGCGAAUCGCUGAAAGCUAAUCUCAGUUCGGAUUGGGGUCUGCAACUCGACCCCAUGAAGUCGGAGUCGCUAGUAAUCGCAGAUCAGCAAUGCUGCGGUGAAUACGUUCCCGGGCCUUGUACACACCGCCCGUCACGUCAUGAAAGUUGGUAACACCCGAAGCCCAUGGCCUAACCACCAUUUUGGUGGGGGGAGUGGUCGAAGGUGGGAUUGGCGAUUGGGACGAAGUCGUAACAAGGUAGCCGUACCGGAAGGUGCGGCUGGAACCCU
rnacentral:rRNA from 1 species